rnacentral:rRNA from 2 species
CUGGCUCAGGAUGAACGCCGGCGGUGUGCCUAAUACAUGCAAGUCGAACGCGUUGGCCCAAUUGAUUGAYGGUGCUUGCACCUGAUUGAUUUUGGUCGCCAACGAGUGGCGGACGGGUGAGUAACACGUAGGUAACCUGCCCAGAAGCGGGGGACAACAUUUGGAAACAGAUGCUAAUACCGCAUAACARCGUUGUUCGCAUGAACAACGCUUAAAAGAUGGCUUCUCGCUAUCACUUCUGGAUGGACCUGCGGUGCAUUAGCUUGUUGGUGGGGUAACGGCCUACCAAGGCGAUGAUGCAUAGCCGAGUUGAGAGACUGAUCGGCCACAAUGGGACUGAGACACGGCCCAUACUCCUACGGGAGGCAGCAGUAGGGAAUCUUCCACAAUGGGCGCAAGCCUGAUGGAGCAACACCGCGUGAGUGAAGAAGGGUUUCGGCUCGUAAAGCUCUGUUGUUAAAGAAGAACACGUAUGAGAGUAACUGUUCAUACGUUGACGGUAUUUAACCAGAAAGUCACGGCUAACUACGUGCCAGCAGCCGCGGUAAUACGUAGGUGGCAAGCGUUAUCCGGAUUUAUUGGGCGUAAAGAGAGUGCAGGCGGUUUUCUAAGUCUGAUGUGAAAGCCUUCGGCUUAACCGGAGAAGUGCAUCGGAAACUGGAUAACUUGAGUGCAGAAGAGGGUAGUGGAACUCCAUGUGUAGCGGUGGAAUGCGUAGAUAUAUGGAAGAACACCAGUGGCGAAGGCGGCUACCUGGUCUGCAACUGACGCUGAGACUCGAAAGCAUGGGUAGCGAACAGGAUUAGAUACCCUGGUAGUCCAUGCCGUAAACGAUGAGUGCUAGGUGUUGGAGGGUUUCCGCCCUUCAGUGCCGGAGCUAACGCAUUAAGCACUCCGCCUGGGGAGUACGACCGCAAGGUUGAAACUCAAAGGAAUUGACGGGGGCCCGCACAAGCGGUGGAGCAUGUGGUUUAAUUCGAAGCUACGCGAAGAACCUUACCAGGUCUUGACAUCUUGCGCCAACCCUAGAGAUAGGGCGUUUCCUUCGGGAACGCAAUGACAGGUGGUGCAUGGUCGUCGUCAGCUCGUGUCGUGAGAUGUUGGGUUAAGUCCCGCAACGAGCGCAACCCUUGUUACUAGUUGCCAGCAUUAAGUUGGGCACUCUAGUGAGACUGCCGGUGACAAACCGGAGGAAGGUGGGGACGACGUCAGAUCAUCAUGCCCCUUAUGACCUGGGCUACACACGUGCUACAAUGGACGGUACAACGAGUCGCGAACUCGCGAGGGCAAGCAAAUCUCUUAAAACCGUUCUCAGUUCGGACUGCAGGCUGCAACUCGCCUGCACGAAGUCGGAAUCGCUAGUAAUCGCGGAUCAGCAUGCCGCGGUGAAUACGUUCCCGGGCCUUGUACACACCGCCCGUCACACCAUGAGAGUUUGUAACACCCAAAGUCGGUGGGGUAACCUUUUAGGAGCCAGCCGCCUAAGGUGGGACAGAUGAUUAGGGUGAAGUCGUAACAAGGUAACC